GCGCGGGCCCGCUCGCCGCCCGGCCGCUGUCAGCGCCGCCCGCACCUCGCCGGCGAGGCGCGCGGGCUGCGCGGCGCUCUCGGAGGCCCGGGCUUCGCCGCCGCCCGCGCCGCCGCUUCUCUUUGUCCGGGCGAGGCGGCCGGAGGGGCGGCCGCUGCGGCCGGGGGGCGCCUCGGCGUCCGGUCGGCGGGUCCCCGGCCGUCGGCACCGCGGCCGCCGCGCGCUCGGAGCGGGGGCGGCGGCCUGGGCGGUGCCGGCGCGAGGUGAGCGCGGGGCGCGAGCGGGCGUGGGCGGGCGGCGGGGACCCGGCUGGGGAGCCGGCUCCGCGCGCGGGGGCGUCCCUGCCCCCUCCGCUUGCGCCACCUCUGCCGGCUUCUCCCGGCAAGUUUGUCGCCCCCGCUUUGCGGACCUCCUCGGAGGAGCCAGACCUGUGGCCAAAUAGAAAACUCGAGCUGGAGGCGGAGUAGGCGGAGGAGGCGUGUGGGAAGCCGGUCCGGGGUGAGAGUCUACUGAAGGGCAGUGCUGGCUUCUUGGACAUCUUCCUUGGCUCUUUCCCACCCAGCCCUCGUUCUCUCCUGCCUGCAUCACCUGCUCGCGCUGAGGUAUUGCAGCUCAUCCGGCACCUUCGCGUGCUGCCAGGUUAAACAUUGUCUGUUUUAGAAGGGCUGGUAGGUGCCCUGAAGAUGUGUUGGGUUGGAAUGGAAACAUUAACACCCAAACCCCUGCUGCUGCUCAGAAAAUGACGUGCGCACAGCGAUAGGUUUCUACACCUGGAUUGUCAACUAGGGCAAAUUGUCACCAAUGGCAGUAAAAACUGUUUUCUGGGGGUCAAGGCGCCUGGAUGAAGCCACGUAUCCAGUGUCCAAAACUGAAGCCCUUGGGCAAGUAUGACUCGCAUGGUCCUUUUUGCCUGGGAUGCUGAUACAGCCAAAGGAGCCGACUUCUUCUGAGAUGGAGAAAAAUUUAUGUCUCGUGGGCUAAUUGGCUCUCGUUCAGCUGUGAACCUAACAGAUAAGUCAUCCUGCUGUGUAUCAAGACAAUGCCCAGUUUUGAAACUGCUCUGAAAAUGAUGAAGGCAGGAUCGCCCAGUGAUGCUGUCAGGGGCCAACAAGCAGCUUGAGAAUUCCCUGUUCACCAGGUAGCAGCUUGAAGGAAGCCCCUUCCCAUUAAGGAGGACUGCAUGGCAGGCAGCCCCCACUGAACGCUGGAAAAUGAGUGUCCCAGUGGCUCCUAAGAAAUCAUGUUACCCUGAGUUACGGGACCAGAGAAAUGGAGUGAAAAACAGUAAUGAGAGCGUCCUACGUCUGGGAGACACCAACGCCAACCCCAUCAUGUUGGAGGUCAGCCCCUCUCCUGGUGAGCCUGUGACAUGUGCCCUGACAGAUGAAAUUGGAAAUGCAAAUUCAAGGGGGCCAGAAAGUAGCACCCGUGUCCAGAAGGAGUUUCACCCCCUUCAGGGCUUUUCGAAGGCAUCUCAGGCUGGCCCUGCCAGCCUGAAGGAUUUUAAAUUUUCUCCGAUGGCUCAGAGAGAACGGAAUGAAGAGCCCACGCUGGAGAGAGGCACAGGUCCCCUGCAGGCCCCUCGGGGUCUUCAGGGACAAGGUCAGCCAAGUUGGAGGACUGUCACAGGUGAGGCCAGCCCAGAGGUUUCGGCUCAGAGGGAGGUUGACGUUCCCUGGCGUGUUCCCAAGGAUAAGUUGGCCAAGACCCUUGACAAUGAGGAAUUGAGGAGGCAUUCUUUGGAGAGAGCGGGCAGCUCUGCCGUAGCCGGGGGCAUGCUUACCAAGGAGUGGGCUGGGGGCCUGGCCUGGCCGCUUCCACAGCCCGCAGUGCUGGGGUCCCCAGAAGCCCCCCGUCCGGUACCCAGUGGCGGGGAGGGGCCGCAGAAGACGGGGGCAGCCCCUUCUCCAGGGCCGGCUUGUCUUCCAGCUGAUGGUACCUCAGAGGGAAAGAGCUCACGUCAUCCUAAACCAUCUACCUCAGUAAUCAAGGAGACCACCCCCUCAGAGACCCAGCCGGAUGGGGGACAGGUACCCAACGUUAGCACCCAGAGCACAGAGCCUUCCGCCUACCCGGAGUGCGCCCCCAGUUCCUCUCCAGCCUCGAAAGAUGCCCUGAGGAAGCCAGAAGCACAGUCAGGUGAGGGAAAGCCCGAGCCCAAGGUGGAGCUGAAACUUGUCCCGCUCAGGGCCGUGCAGGAGUUCAAGUCCACCCCGGCGGAGGGGCUGGGGUGUCCUCAGGAGGACGGCGUGUCGCCCCUAGGGAGAAAGGAGCCGUGUACAGAGGAGGCACAGCAAGAAGCCUCGGCCGCUGCACGCAGCGGCCCCCAGCCGCCGGGUGUGGGAAGAGGCAGGGGUGAGCGGGGAAAGAGAGGUGAGGAGGGGUCUCUGCAGACCACGCCCAAGCCGGGCCCCGCUUCCUCGGGAGCUGCUGAGCGUCAGCCCACGGGCAGAAGUUCACCAGGCGCAGCUAGGAGACCGGGUGAAACCCCAUCCAGCAGCGUUUCACCCAGGGAGGGUCACGUCGCUUUUGUUCCUGGUGAUUCGACUGACAGCAGGCCCUCGGGUGCCAGUGAGGAGAGAGGGGUCCUGGGCGGUGGGAACGGGGACGGCGCUACGGUUUUUAAUUCAGAUGGUUCUGCUGGAGAGAGCAGAACUGGGGUCCCCGAGCCCCCCGACCCUCCAAGCAGCAGCUUAGAAGCUGGGGAAAGCACAGAGAUCGCUACAUCCAUGGCUGAGACUAGGAACCGUCUAGAGACUGCAGUGAAGACUGAAAGCGCCCCCCAGGCAAGAGCAGAUUCUCUUCCCGGAGUCCCAGUGCCCCUCCACCCAGAGACAACUGUGAAUGUGGCCCGCCAGCCCGUGCAACCCAGCAGCCGUUUUCCGGACUUGGGCGCCUUGAAUGUGGACGCGGGGGUCCCCCCGGCCGCCCCGCCUUCUGCCAACAGCUCCAGGUUGUCACACGCUUCCCUGAAAGUGCCUGACAAGAACCCCUGCCCUGGUGGGAUCCCCAAGCCUGGCCUCACCCGUCCCGAGGACACACCCGCCUCACAGGAGGGAACGGAGGGCCCCCAGGUUGAAAAGACAGAAGAAAGGGUGGAUCCCCGGCCCAUCGUUAUGCCCAAGCCCAAGCACGUGAGGCCCAAGAUCAUCACCUACAUCCGGAGGAGCCCUCAGGCCCUCGGCCAGGUGGACGCGUCUCUGGUUCCCGUGGGGCUACCUUAUGCUCCACCCCCGUGUAACGUGCCUCUUCCCAAAGAGGAGAAGGCGGCAGGUGGAGACCUGAAGCCGGCCGCCAGCCUCUACGACAAGUUCAAGCCAGACCUGCAGAGGUCCCGCGUGUUCAGCUCCGGACUCGUGGUGUCUGGGAUCAAGCCCCCGGGACACCCCUUCAGUCAAAUGAGUGAAAAGUUUUUACAGGAGGUUACAGAACGCCCUGGAAAAGAAGAAUUUUGUCCUCCUCCCUAUACUCACUACGAAGUUCCUCCAACUUUCUAUCGAUCGGCCAUGCUCCUUAAGCCCCAGCUGGGAUUGGGUGCGAUGUCACGUUUACCAUCUGCCAGGAGCAGGAUCCUGAUCGCGAGCCAGAGGUCUUCAGCGAGCGCCAUUCACCCACCAGGAACCCUAGCGGCAGCUGCCAGCCUCUACAGCUCCGACCCUGCAGCAGAUUUAAAGAAACCUUCCAGUUCAAAUGCUGCAAAAUCCAACCUACCCAAAUCUGGACUUCGUCCUCCCGGCUACUCGCGUCUCCCGGCGGCCAAGCUGGCGGCCUUUGGCUUCGUCCGGAGCUCCAGCGUGACCUCGGUGUCCAGCACCCAGCCAGCGGACAGCGCCCAGCCCGAGCCCGGCCGGCUGGCCAACCGUUCAACCUUUGGGACUGAAGACCAGCCGGCUCUGAAGGCAGCUCUGCCUUCCAAAGACACACCCAAAGGGGCUGCCCGGGUGGCCCCUCCGGCGUCCUCCAGUGUGACAACACCUCGCAGGAGUUUGCUUCCGGCGCCAAAAUCCACGACCACACCGGCCGGAACAAAGAAAGAAGUACAAAAAGAUCAAGAUGCUAGUAAACCUGCAGUUUCAUCUCCUAAGAGAACAGCGGCUUCAACCACCAAGCUUCAUUCGCCAGGAUACCCCAAGCAGAGGCCCACGGCCCCCCGCAACGGGGUCUCCCCCAAGCCGGACCCGCAGGCCCGAGAGGCCGAGCGGCAGCUGGUGCAGCGGCUGAAGGAGAGGUGCGACCAGCAGACGCGGCAGCUGGGCCUCGUGCAGGCGGAGCUGAGACGGGCCGUCCGGGGCUUCGAGGCGCUCGCCGUGUCCACUCAGCUCUUCUUUGGGAAGAAUGAAAGUGCCCUUGUGAAAGAAAAAGAGCUGUCAAUCGAACUUGCAAACAUCAGGGAUGAAGUUGCCUUCCAUGCGGCGAAGUGUGAGAAGCUGCAGCGGGAGAAGGCGGAGCUGGAGCGGCGCCGUGAGGACGAGGUGCGCAGGCGGGGCCGGCAGCAUCAGGCCGAGCUGCGCGACCUGGAACGGCGGCUGCAGCUGCAGUUCGAGACCGAGGCGGCCCAGCUCCAGGAGGAGCACCGCGCACAGCUGCUGCGGAUCGGGUGUCAGCACCAGGAGCAGGUGGAAGACAUCACCGCCAGCCAUGAGGCUGCUCUCCUAGAGAUGGAAAACAGCCACACGGUUGCCGUCUCGCUCCUGCAGGAUGACCACGACCACAAGGUGCAAGAACUGAUAUCUACCCACGAGCUUGAAAAGAAAGAAUUGGAAGAAAAUUUUGAAAAGCUGCGGCUGUCAUUACAGGACCAGGUGGACACGCUGACCUUCCAGAGCCAGUCUCUGCGGGACCGAGCCAGACGCUUCGAGGAAGCUUUGAGGAAAAACACUGAGGAGCAGCUGGAGAUUGCAUUGGCUCCUUAUCAGCACUUGGAAGAAGACAUGAAGAGUCUGAAGCAGGUAUUAGAGAUGAAGAAUCAGCAAAUACACCAGCAGGAAAAGAAGAUUAUUGAGCUGGAAAAGCUGGCAGAAAAGAACAUUAUCCUGGAAGAAAAGAUCCAGGUUCUCCAACAGCAGAAUGAAGACCUCAAAGCCAGGAUCGACCAGAACACCGUUGUCACGAGACAGCUGUCAGAGGAGAAUGCCAACCUCCAGGAGUACGUGGAGAAAGAAACGCAGGAGAAGAAGAGAUUGAGCCGAACCAACGAAGAGCUGCUCUGGAAGCUGCAAACAGGGGACCCAACCAGCCCGAUUAAACUGUCCCCCACGUCCCCCGUUCACCGAGGCUCCUCCUCUGGGCCCUCCUCUCCCGCCAGAGUCAGCAUGACGCCCAGAUGACGCCACCACGCUGCGGGUCGAGCUGCGGCGCCUGGUCCACGAGCGCGUCCGCCUCGAGGGAGUGGUGACCGUGGACCGGCCCGACUGACCCUGCGCGCAUGCCCAGUAGCUGCAUAGCUGCACCCUAGGCAGAGUCCUUUUCUGAUGCUCGUGUAAGACUGUCCUGGUACUGGCACUUAGGAAAGUGUAAGUGGUAGUGUCUGAUGUGCAAACGUUUGACCGUAGUUAGAGCCAAAAGAAAGAAACGCCAAUCGUUCUUGAGCAAUGAACUUUCACUGCAGAAUAUCAGGAAUAUUUCUACCCAAAAUAGAAAAAGGAAAAAAAAAAAAGAUACAGAGAAGAAGCGCCUUCCGACCUGCCACCACGUGGUACUCUGUUUAACACAAACACCAGCCAUUCAUGAACGGUAACUGCCUUUGGAACAAUCAGCUUCUUAGUCCACAUGAUGUGAGGUCACUAUUACUCCAUCCGCAAGUUUUAAUUAUUAAUACUUCUGUCAUGAGCGGAUAAGGGGCAGCAGUGGGAAACCCUGAGGGGGUGAGGAGUUUUGCAGAUGUCACUCAUGACAGUGGAUCGUCUAUAGUCUUGUAAACACAAGUUCUGUUUUUUUUUCUUAAAUGGCAUCUUGGAAUCCAUCAUUAAGCUCUUUCAUCUUCGGGAAAAUAUGGAAGCACAUGACCUUAUAGGAUGAGGGUGAGAGUGACCUUGGAGUUGGCCAAGACCAUUCACGCUCCGUCCUCAAGAAGGAAGACUGCUAAUAGGGUCUGUGUUCUGACUAAGCAUAGAGUAGGAAAGCAUACUCUGGCAUCCUAUUUGCUUUACUCUGAUGUGAUGCUGAAAAUGGUCAACUCACCAAAAUAUGACCCUCAGCCCCACUUCAUUGGCACCCCCCUUCGGUUUGGUUCUGUAACCCAACCUCAUUCCUAUACAUUGAGAAGCUCAGGGGUUCUAGCAGGGGCUUCCAGAAAACCAAUUCUUCUAUUCUGGGGGAUCAGUUCCAAGCUGUACUAGAUCAUCACAUGACCUCCCAGGAACCCAGGUGUAUUUUCUGCUGGAUGAUCGAGCAGUGCCACAGCUGACAGAGUUCCCAUCUUUGGUCCAGGAGGUUCUUCCAAACAGAGGAAGGAGCCCGGGAAACAACCAGCCAGCGGUGGCUGGCUUCUGGACUGGCAUUUGGCUCUGAAAUGGUAGAAUUAGAACCUGAGAGGUAUUCCUGUAGUGCCGUGGACGAUUAGAAGUAAGACACACAAAAGAAAGAAGCGGUUUCAACAGUUGCUAUGGUGAUGAUAGUGAUGCCUUUGUUCGCUGUUUGUGACAAAGACCCUGCACUUUCCUCCCUAAGGCCCCUCAAAAUGGUCCUGAGGACUGGCUCUGGGCAUCCCCGAGGCAGGCGGACUCAUGUAGGGAUGCUUCGUGGGCCAGAGCCACAGAGCAGGGAAGACACAGCCCACGGAAGGGGUUGGCUGGCCCAGGGCCCUGCCUGCUCUGUGAAUACGUGGCCGGCGUAAAGACAGACCUGGUCUGUGUCCCUUGCGUGAGUCAAGGUUGGGCUUCCUGGCCUCAUGUACAUCUCAUUUCUAGCAAACCGCCAGGUGUUUGCCCAUCCUGGGGACAUACACAGGAGUAUCCACUGAAGAAACAUUUUUUUCCUUUAGUGGCUCUGCAUGAUGCUGUGAUGUUGAUUUGGGCCUCCCGUUAGAGUAGAUCAUGCCACGUUGACUAAAUACACAAAUAUUUAUUCUUUCAGCAGGCACCACCUGCAGACACAAUAGCUCAGCCCUCCGAAUUAGGAACUGCUUCCCUAACGGCACUUGCUAAAUGCAGUUACACAGCAAUACAGAUAUCAGUGUUAUGUUAGAAUGUGGUCCAGUGUGUUAGCCUGUUGCAGUCAAAGUUGUAGUGGUGUUAGAAUGAAGUCAUCCCUCACUAGGCGACUAGAGCUUGGCUCUAACCAGCCCUGACCUUGGGUACUUGAGCUAAUUCCCACCUUGCCCUGGCUUCAUUUCCCCGUCAUGGACGCCCAUCAUAUAUGGCUCCUAGCCCGGAACACGAGGGGCAGCGGCCACCGGGCCCCUUCUGCGCCUCUCCAGCCCCACACUGUUAGGACUUGGACCUCUGUCUCCCUGGCGUCCACCUCCCAGGCCAGAGCUGCUGCCACGCGGAGAUGCUGCAGCCUCCCCGCCUGCCGCUCACAGACCUGCCGAACCGCACCAACCUCUUCCUGGUGAGUGGGACCCCGUCGGCGCCCUGCCCUCCCGCCGCCCAGCACACACCCGGCGAGGUUUUGGGGGGGUGUGGGCACACCUGGUGGCCAUCUGAAUGGGGUCACUCAUUCCUCUGCCGGCCCCUGCGGGUUCUGUGUUGCCUAUUUGUGUCUGAAGCAUAUUAAAAUGAACUUGAGGGACCUUCUGUGACAUACACUUGAUAUGACUGUUGGCCUGGCCCUCCCGGGCUUCAGGAGGCCUGGUGGGGUCAGGCAGGGAGGCCAGAAGGCUGGGCUCCCCUUGUGUGUGCGCCAGCUGGCCGUCUCUGAGUCGCGAGAGCCCCCAACUCUCCCCCGACUCGGCGGAUUCAGGAUCCCUGCACCCAUCUUCCAGCCCGGAUCCUUCAGUAGCCUUGCCCAGGCUUUGGGGGCUCAGCGGCUCUGUUCCGUCUCCGCCGUCCUGGGGAGGCCCGGGUGGGUUGGAGGAGGUUGGAAAAAGGACACGAGAUUGAGGCCAGUCCCCUCACCGUCAACGUCGAAUUCAGACGUGGACCUAUUGCUUCUACCGCAGAGUGAGCUCGGUCUGUCCUCAAGCCCGUCCCUCUGCACCUGGCUGGUCACAGAGCUGUCUCAGAGCGCCGGGAACAGGCUGGCGGGCUUGGGGGCCGUGGUCACAGCACUGCCUUGUCAUGCGCUUUCUCAUGCCCUCAGGGUUCUUGGGGGCCAGGACACCUCUUGAACCUAAAAGCGCUCACUUCCCCCACCCGGGCCUUCAGGCUGGGCUGCAGCCACUUGGCUGCCUGCCCAGGAGUGUCCCUCGGGGCUGCCCUGCCUGGGGUCGCAGGCUGGUUCCCUGUGGGGUUUGGAGGGACCUCCGGAGACUCCAGCCACUGUGCCCUCCCGAACCACUGCCGGACAGGAGCCCCUCGGCAGGUGAUAAAGCCCCUUGAGUUACUCCGGACCUGCCAGCACCACUCCCGGACCCCCUGGGUCACCCACGUAUCCAGGUUAUUGGCGAUGGCUGCUAUUCAUGAUCUACUUGUCAACCCGUCCCAACCUGUUCGUUUCUUCUGGCGUCUUGUGCCACCACCUUUAGCAUACCCACCCUGCAUUCUCCUGUCAGCACAGCCGCUUAACAGAGGGGCGCUGGCGCCCGGCCCAUGGCCCACGGAGGAAACCAGGGUGGAGGGGCCUCGCAUCCGUGGAGAGCUGCGUCCCCCCGUACGGGUGUCUUGUCGUGGCAGAGAGGCUUUUGAAGUCAGCCGCUCGGUCCCCGACGCUGGAAGGAGUGAGGAGAGCGAAGCUCAGGUAGAAGCCUGGGGCAGGGCGUCCCACCCGCUGCUGGAGGCUGUUCUCACUCCGUGGCUGCAUCCGGGAACAGGCCCCCAGCAGUGGCCCUCGGGGCACCCUCGCAUCGCAUCCCUGCAUCCCUCUAGGCAAGAGGCGGGGUCCUGCCGUCUGGGGAGUUUGGGUCAAAUGCUCUAAAAAAUCACCACCACCAUCACAGGCUAGAGCUCAUUCGCUUAAGUUUGCUAAAUAUCUUUUUUUUUUUUUUUUGAACCUGUCUGCUUCUCUCAGACCUCUUUAAAAACAAAAGCAGGACACUUCGGGUUUCUUGAACGCCCAGCUCUGUUCCUUCCCCCUCUGGGGGACAUGCAGGCGAAUUUGCCUCCCUCACCAAGUCUGGGCGAGUUUUCCAGAGCCAGCACCCCAGGGGAUGAAGUGCUGUGCAGCCUAAGCUGGGUGCUCCCGUCCCUGCAGGCCCCCCGGGUCCCUCCCCCCAGACAACCCAGGCAGGCUCAGCUGCUGCUGUCGGUUUCAACUGCACCCAGAUCCACGUAGCAGGGGCUGCACUAGCAGACGCUCAACAAGUAACCGCACGGCUUCAAGGAGUGAAAAUGUAAAGCGUCCGUGGGAAAGAACGACCGCGCAGCUUCUCCCGGCUCCUGCACCUCAGUCCUGAGUGCCCGCGGAUCGGUGCUGAGAAGGAGGCCAGAGCUCACGUCAUCAGCGGACGUACCACCUGCUUCAUUCCCGAAGCCUCUCUCACAUCGCACUUUUUCUGGCCAUAUUGAUGGCUUGGUGGACAGGCUUAUACAGUAAAGCGAAACGAUGGCCCUUGGAAGAGGGGCGGACUGGGCUACCCCGGGUAGGUGUCCCCGCCUUCCCGGCCGUCUGGUGGCUGAACAGCAACCCGAGGAGUCCGUGAGAUUCCUCCCCGCUGCGGAGGCCGGGCUGUCCGGGGGCAGCUUCUGACUCACCAGACGCGUUUCAUCACCAAACUGUGCUCCAGGUGACUCCCCACCCCCAGUCCUCCAGGGACCCCCAUCAGGGUUUCCUAGGAAACUGCCCGGAAGCCUGGCGGGGGCGCUUCAGGCGCCCGCCCGCGCCGGCCGCUAGGUGGCAGUGUGGCGCCGCGGGACUGGCCGCUCGGGGACACGGGGAAGCCGGCCCGUCUACAAGUCCGUAUCUGGGCUCACGGGCGCCUGCCAGUUGUCACAGAUCGCCUUGGGGGAGGGGGCGGCUGAGGGCAGGAAGGGGCACCCUGCCUGCGUUCGUCCCCGCAGACCCCUGGGCGCGGAGGGAAAGCGUCCCCGCGGUCCAGGCCUGGUGGGUGGUUCACCGCGCGGCCGACGGAUGCCCCUCACAUUCCUGAUGCUGAGCGCGCGGGGCCGGCAGCCGCCCCCUGCUCUGCUCUCGGGCAGCAGACCUCCCAGCCUGAUCACGCCGGGCCUCAGGGUCUGGGAAUUAAGGCCCCCUUGACUGAGUGUGCCUCCUGUGUAAGAAAGCGCUUCCUUUCUCAAGGGGGGCGGGGGGUGGUGAGAGAUCGAGGAUUAUGAGAACAGCUACAACCCUCCCCAUCCCUUCCCGCUCCUGCGCGCACCCCACCCUCCAGAUGGGUGGCGGGCGUGUGGCCGGAAACGCAAGGCCAGUGUUCAAGGAAGAGGGGUUUGCUGCACUGACACCCAAGCGCUUCUGCAAACGAGCAGCGUCAGGCCCCGCAGACCCAUUGGCAGGAAGACCUCUGGGCCCAAACCCAAGCCAAGUCCGGAAAAGAGUGGGAGGUGGGGAGACGGCUUCAGAGGAUCCUAAAUGAGGGUCGAGGGGUUCCCUGGCCGAGGCGCUAAAGCCGGAAUGAGGAUUUCCACCAAACGGCUGAAGGAGAACGAGGCAACGCGACAUCCUUCCGGUUGUGGGGAAGCAGGCAGAUACUCAAGAAGCAAAGAGCAGGGUCUGAA